rnacentral:rRNA from 1 species
AACGAACGCUGGCGGCAGGCCUAACACAUGCAAGUCGAGCGAGACCUUCGGGUCUAGCGGCGGACGGGUUAGUAACGCGUGGGAACGUGCCCUUCUCUGCGGAAUAGCCACUGGAAACGGUGAGUAAUACCGCAUACGCCCUUCGGGGGAAAGAUUUAUCGGAGAAGGAUCGGCCCGCGUUAGAUUAGAUAGUUGGUGGGUAACGGCCUACCAAGUCUACGAUCUAUAGCUGGUUUUAGAGGAUGAUCAGCAACACUGGGACUGAGACACGGCCCAGACUCCUACGGGAGGCAGCAGUGGGGAAUCUUGGACAAUGGGCGCAAGCCUGAUCCAACCAUGCCGCGUGAGUGAUGAAGGCCUUAGGGUCGUAAAGCUCUUUCGCCAGAGAUGAUAAUGACAGUAUCUGGUAAAGAAGUCCCGGCUAACUCCGUG